AUAUUGGUCAAUGGACGCAAGUCUGAACCAGCCAUGCCGCGUGGAGGAUGAAGGCCCUCUGGGUUGUAAACUUCUUUUAUGGGGGACGAAAUCACUUAUUCUUAAGUGUCUGACGGUACCCCAGGAAUAAGCACCGGCUAACUCCGUGCCAGCAGCCGCGGUAAUACGGAGGGUGCAAGCGUUAUCCGGAUUCACUGGGUUUAAAGGGUGCGUAGGAGGGCAGGAAAGUCAGUGGUGAAAUCCUAGGGCUUAACUCUAGAACUGCCGUUGAUACUACUUGUCUUGAAUAUCGUGGAGGUGAGCGGAAUAUGUCAUGUAGCGGUGAAAUGCUUAGAUAUGACAUAGAACACCGAUUGCGAAGGCAGCUCACUACGCGGUCAUUGACGCUGAGGCACGAAAGCGUGGGGAUCAAACAGG
rnacentral:rRNA from 1 species